UGCCCCUCUUCUCGGGUUAUGUCCGAGCCCGUGCGGCCCUGGAGAAGGAGCAAGCAGUGGCCAUGGGUACAAUGAGGGAUUUCUCACAGUGGAAGGCGCUUCAGGGGCCUGAGUGUGUUGUGGACUGAGAUGACCAUAGAGAUUUGAAACGGACGUCUUCAAAAGGCGAUACCUGAAAAAGAUGACAUCCAUCCCGGAGGACCCCGCUUCUCACUACUACCAUCAGAAGGGAGGUACCGGAGCCUGAAGGAUGCUGCCUGACCUGCCAGGUCCCACGCCACCAGGUUCAGGAACAGUUAUUACCCUACGACCAGGCUCCUGAGCAGGUGUGGAUAACUUGACUAACCUCAGCUCUGAACUGAUUCCACAACCUCUAGACUCACU